AGAUCAGGUCCCCAGCUUGUUUCUUGCAUCUUGGCUUGUCCUGCAAAAUGUCUCUCUUCAAGUCUACCACAAUCAAGUCUCUACCAUAAUAGAUGAAAGAGUGGCACAGAGAGAGGUUUAAACUGACAGGGAUUAUUUCAGGAGAAGUCCAUGAAGAAAGUUCAGCAUGGGAAUGAGUCCUUAAGAGCAAGUAUCCCUUGCCCCAGCUAUCUUGUUUGCAACCAGAGUGAGGGAAAAGAGAGGAGAGGAGAAGAAAAAGGAAAGGAAAAGUGCCAAUACCAGGUCCUUUUGUCAGCUCCUCAGGCAUCCCUGCCCUGGAACAGUGCUUUAAGACUAUGAUCCACUCACAAUUGGAUAUUUCUCCAUAAAUUCUGCCUCACACCUUCUGCCAUUGUUGUGGGAGAGCCAAAUCCAGUCUUCACCAGAGUAAGUGGCACUCUGAGCCUCAACUCCACUCAAGCUAGACGCGGAAGCCUCAUCAGGUCAUCGCUGUGACCCUAAGUUAUAAAAGGCUAUGAUCAGAGUGAAAAUUUUGCUGCAAGGAGUGAUAGAUUUUUCUACUGUAUUGGCAUCUUCUGAUAGCUCCACUGCUAAGCUGGAAAGAGGUCAGGGAUAUUGUAUGCAAAGGAGACAAAUGGAAUGUUGUAUGGAGUGAAUUGAGAAGAGAAUUGUUGACUGGAAAAAUAACAAAAGUCUCCAAACUAUUCCUUCUUCUCUUGUUAUGGGGUUUGGAUGUGUACCCCUGGGGUUCAGGAAGGAUACCUUUUGCAAGAAUGUAAGACUCCAAAACUUAGCUUAAAAACAAGAGAAAUUUAUCAAUUUAGGAAGUAAUGUUGAGAAUGGCCAGGAGGAUAACAAGAUGGGAC
rnacentral:lncRNA from 1 species